GAUGAACGCUGGCGGCGUGCCUAAUACAUGCAAGUCGAGCGAACAGACGAGGAGCUUGCUCCUUUGACGUUAGCGGCGGACGGGUGAGUAACACGUAGGUAACCUACCUAUAAGACUGGGAUAACUUCGGGAAACCGGAGCUAAUACCGGAUAAUAUUUCGAACCGCAUGGUUCGAUAGUGAAAGAUGGCUUUGCUAUCACUUAUAGAUGGACCUGCGCCGUAUUAGCUAGUUGGUAAGGUAACGGCUUACCAAGGCAACGAUACGUAGCCGACCUGAGAGGGUGAUCGGCCACACUGGAACUGAGACACGGUCCAGACUCCUACGGGAGGCCGCAGUAGGGAAUCUUCCGCAAUGGGCGAAAGCCUGACGGAGCAACGCCGCGUGAGUGAUGAAGGUCUUCGGAUCGUAAAACUCUGUUAUUAGGGAAGAACAAACGUGUAAGUAACUGUGCACGUCUUGACGGUACCUAAUCAGAAAGCCACGGCUAACUACGUG
rnacentral:rRNA from 1 species